GACGUAGGGCGCGAGCGUUGUCCGGAUUUAUUGGGCGUAAAGAGCUCGUAGGCGGCUUGUCGCGUCGACUGUGAAAACCCGCGGCUCAACUGCGGGCCUGCAGUCGAUACGGGCAGGCUAGAGUUCGGUAGGGGAGACUGGAAUCCCUGGUGUAGCGGUGAAAUGCGCAGAUAUCAGGAGGAACACCGGUGGCGAAGGCGGAUCUCUGGGCCAUUACUGACGCUGAGGAGCGAAAGCGUGGGGAGCGAACAGG
rnacentral:rRNA from 1 species